AUUGAACGCUGGCGGCAGGCCUAACACAUGCAAGUCGAACGAGAGGCGGACGGGUGAGUAAUGUCUGGGAAACUGCCUGAUGGAGGGGGAUAACUAGUGGAACCGGUAGCUAAUACCGCAUAACAUCAUAUGUGCCCAGAUGGGUUUAGCUUGUGGGGGGGGUAACGGCGCACAAAGGCGACGAUCCCUAGCUGGUCUGAGAGGAGUACCAGCCAAACUGGAACUGAGACACGGUCCAGACUCCUACGGAAGGCAGCAGGGGGGAAUAUUGCACAAUGGGCGCAAGCCUGAUGCAGCCAUGCCGCGGGUAUGAAGAAGGCCUUCGGGUUGUAAAUUACUUUCAGCGGGGAGGCGUUACCCGCAGAAGAAGCACCGGCUAACUCCGUGCCAGCAGCCGCGGUAAUUC
rnacentral:rRNA from 1 species